UACGGAGGGUGCAAGCGUUAUCCGGAUUCACUGGGUUUAAAGGGUGCGUAGGUGGCCUGUUAAGUUAGGGGUGAAAGACGGUAGCUUAACUAUCGCAGUGCCCUUGAUACUGAUGGGCUUGAAUGAACUAGAGGUAGGCGGAAUGUGACAAGUAGCGGUGAAAUGCAUAGAUAUGUCACAGAACACCAAUUGCGAAGGCAGCUUACUAUGGUUUUAUUGACACUGAGGCACGAAAGCGUGGGGAUCAAACAGG
rnacentral:rRNA from 1 species